GAGGGUAUAGCUCAGUGGUAGUGUGUGUGUUUAGCAUGCACAAGGUCCUGGGUUUAAUCCCCAGUACCUCCA
rnacentral:tRNA from 1 species